CCUACGGGAGGCAGCAGUGGGGAAUAUUGCACAAUGGAGGAAACUCUGAUGCAGCGACGCCGCGUGAGCGAUGAAGUAUUUCGGUAUGUAAAGCUCUAUCAGCAGGGAAGAAAAUGACGGUACCUGACUAAGAAGCUCCGGCUAAUUACGUGCCAGCAGCCGCGGUUAUACGUCGGGGGCAAGCGUUAUCCGGAUUUACUGGGUGUAAAGGGGGCGUAGAAGGCGAUGCAAGCCAGAUGUGAAAGCCCGGGGCUCAACCCCGGGACUGCAUUUGGAACUGGGUGGCUGGAGUGUCGGAGAGGCAGGCGGAAUUCCUAGUGUAGCGGUGAAAUGCGUAGAUAUUAGGAGGAACACCAGUGGCGAAGGCGGCCUGCUGGACGAUGACUGACGUUGAGGCUCGAAAGCGUGGGGAGCAAACAGGAUUAGAUACCCCUGUAGUC
rnacentral:rRNA from 1 species